AGAGUUUGAUUAUGGCUCAGAACGAACGCUUGCUGCAUGCUUUAUACAUGCAAGUCGAACGAAGGCCCUAGCUUGCUAGGUGUCCUUAGUGGCGCACGGGUGAGUAACACGUGGGAACAUACCUUAUAGUACGGAAUAACUGCGGGAAACUGUAGCUAAUACCGUAUAUUCCAGUAAUGGGAAAGAUUUAUCGCUAUAAGAUUGGCCCGCGCAAGAUUAGCUUGUUGGUGAGGUAAAAGCUCACCAAGGCUUCGAUCUUUAGCUGGUUUGAGAGGAUGAUCAGCCACACUGGGACUGAGACACGGCCCAGACUCCUACGGGAGGCAGCAGUAGGGAAUAUUGGACAAUGGGGGCAACCCUGAUCCAGCAAUGCAGCGUGAGUGACGAAGGCCUUAGGGUUGUAAAACUCUUUCAUCGGUGAGGAUAAUGACAGUAGCCGAAGAAGAAGGACCGGCUAAUUCCGUGCCAGCAGCCGCGGUAAUACGGAAGGUCCUAGCGUUGUUCGGAAUUACUGGGCGUAAAGCGCAUGUAGGCGGAACAGAAAGUUAGAAGUGAAAUCCCUGGGCUCAACCUAGGAAUUGCUUUUAAAACUUCUGUUCUGGAAUUCAGGAGAGGAAAAUGGAAUUUCCAGUGUAGAGGUGAAAUUCGUAGAUAUUGGAAGGAACACCAGUGGCGAAGGCGAUUUUCUGGACUGAUAUUGACGCUGAGAUGCGAAGGCAUGGGUAGCAAACGGGAUUAGAUACCCCGGUAGUCCAUGCAGUAAACGAUGGGUGCUAGUCGUCGGACUUUUGUUCGGUGUCGUAGCUAACGCGUUAAGCACCCCGCCUGGGGAGUACGGUCGCAAGAUUAAAACUCAAAUAAAUUGACGGGGACCCGCACAAGCAGUGGAGCAUGUGGUUUAAUUCGACGCAACGCGAAGAACCUUACCAGCGUUUGACAUGGAAAGUACCGGUUACAGAAUGGUAACCUUCAGUUCGGCUGGCUUUCGCACAGGUGCUGCAUGGCUGUCGUCAGCUCGUGUCGUGAGAUGUUGG
rnacentral:rRNA from 1 species